rnacentral:lncRNA from 1 species
AACAGUUAUGGCUCAAAAUCUCACAGGUUUAUUCAACGUCCAAAAGUCAAGGUUAAAAUCACUCUAGAAUUAUGCAAAUUAGUUCCAAUUAUGCUUAAAUCAUCAAAGAAAAUCAAAUUCAAUUUUUUUUUCACAGAAAUCAUCAUUGGCAUCUCACCAGAAAUCUAAUGGAGUAAUAACCAACUCAAAAACAAAACAAACACACACCACCAACCAAGCAGGAUAAAACAAUAAAGCCAACAAAAAGAUAAAAGUGAUACACAUAUCUACUCUCACCCCCCUCCCCCAAACUUAUUACAGAACAUAAGUUCGAAAAUAAGUUUGGAGGGAUGAUGAUAUGUGUGUCACUACUCACAGAAAAACAUGCUCCAUGGUGGUGGUAUGAACAAAGCGCGAGUUCCCUCAUCUUCCAAGCUCAACACUGCACUAAACUCCCAAAAAAACAACAAAACAAAAAGAAACAAAACGAAAGGAAAACAAAACAAAGAAAACGGUUGGGUUACCUCCCAACAAGUGCUUAAUUUAAC